UACGUAGGGACCAAGGCGUUUGUUCGGAUUUACUGGGCGUAAAGGGCGCGUAGGCGGCAAUUCAAGUCAUCUGUGAAAUCUCCGGGACUUAACUCGGAACGGUCAGAUGAUACUGCUUUGCUAGAGUGCGGAAGGGGCAAUCGGAAUUCUCGGUGUAGCGGUGAAAUGCGUAGAUAUCGAGAGGAACACCUGAGGUGAAGACGGGGUUGCUGGGCCGACACUGACGUGAGUGCGCGAAAGCUAGGGGAGCGAACGGG
rnacentral:rRNA from 1 species